GAGCGUAUAGCUCAGUGGUAGAGCAUGUGCUUAGCACGUGUGAGGUCCUGGGUUCAAUCCCCAGUAGCUCC
rnacentral:tRNA from 1 species